ACACCUAUGGGACGCAGCAGUGAGGAAUAUUGGUCAAUGGACGCAAGUCUGAACCAGCCAUGCCGCGUGCAGGAAGACGGCUCCAUGAGUUGUAAACUGCUUUUGUACGAGGGUAAACGCAGAUACGUGUAUCUGUCUGAAAGUAUCGUACGAAUAAGGAUCGGCUAACUCCGUGCCAGCAGCCGCGGUAAUACGGAGGAUUCAAGCGUUAUCCGGAUUUAUUGGGUUUAAAGGGUGCGUAGGCCGGCUUUUAAGUCAGCUGUGAAAGUCCGCGGCUCAACCGUGGAAUUGCAGUUGAAACUGGA
rnacentral:rRNA from 1 species